CUUUAUUGAUUAUGGAACGGUUGCGAAAGUUUCUGUUAAAGAGUUAUGUUUCUUGCACGAGAAUUUCUCUAAUCUACCAGCACAAGCAAUACGCUGCAGACUUGCCAAUAUUUGCCCACCAGAAAAAGGGACUCCUUGGACUCGGGAGUCAACCAAAGCCUUUAGACAGCUUGUACUGAAAAAAGACCUGACCGCUAAAGUUAUUCGAAUAAAUUGGAAGGACCAAUUUUUGGAGGUUUGCCUGGCAGAUGUAACAGAUCGAGAUAAUAUAUAUUAUAUUCAUGACAAAGUGAUAGAAAAGGGAUUUGCAAUUCAUCCAAAUCAAGUGAGUUGUGAGGAUAAAGUUUCUAAUAAUAAGAAAAAGAUAUUACUGCAAGUCAUAGCUCAAAGAAGAGCAGGGACAAAUAUUCCAUAGUGUUUUAGUAAAUUUGGACUGAGAAUGUAACGAUUUUGUUUUCAUUAUUGAUAUUUGAAGAUACUUCAUGAAAUAUAAUUUCAAAAGUA